UAAUUUCACACAAGUCGCUCCUGAGUAUAAGUCGCACCCCCGGCCAAACUACGAAAAAAAACUGCGACUUCUUCAAAGACCCCUUCAAGUUUGCAAAAAGCCUUUUUACAAAAGGACAAAAGUGGAGAACUCGCAACAUCAAAGAAAGAUCUUGAAGCUGACCUCAAACAGAACCAGGAUUUGUAAGAAGACAUCUCAUGAGAACACCAGCAUGGAGCUGAGGCCAGAGAGUCUACUGGAGAGGAGGUGAAGUGGUACCAGCUCCUGAUGCCAACCAGUGAUGGAGAUGGACGUCCUGGACUACUAUCAAAAUCAUUCACCAUCACCUCUAUAAGCAGUACAUGAAGCAUCAGUGAACAGUCUCUGAGGGGCCUGUCCAUCACCUGCAGAGAAGAGGUGCAGGCGUCCUGACGCGUUGCCGCCCAGGAAUGCGUUCCUGGUGGGGUGGAAGGCGGUGACGGACUGCACGGUGUGGAGGAGCUCGUCGUCUUUGAAGGACUGUAAGAGUCGGCCGCUCUCGUGGAACACCUGCACCUUGCGCGGCCAGGAAACGCUUCCCACUACGAGACAGUUCUCCUGUUUGGGGUCCCACACGGCCGACAGUUUGGACAGCCAGCGGCCCGUUUUCAUGUUGUGGCUGCAAAUGGAGCGAAGACAAAUGGUCACAGAAGACAAACACUGACAGUUCUAUCUGAGUGGCUCAAACACGCGGGGAAAAAGCGUGUAGCUGCUUUAUCUAGCGGAGAAGAUCAUAAAAUAGAGUUCCAUUAAAGGCCUACUGAAAUGAUUUUUUUUUAUUUAAACGGGAAUAGCAGAUCCAUUCUAUGUGUCAUACUUGAUCAUUUCGCGAUAU